AACUGAUACUACCUGCGGGAACCUGCGGAGGGAUCAUUACCGAUGAAGGUACCACCACCAAUUGGUAUCACCACCAAUUGGGGUGACAGCCCCAUCACCAACCUUGCCUUUGAGUACCUUCUGUUUCCUCGGCGGGCUCGCCCGCCAAUGGGGACCUAUUUCAAACUCUUGUAGUAGCAGUGAAGUCUGAAAGGAAAACAACCCUUCAAAACUUUUAGCAAUGGAUCUCUAGAUCGGAAG
rnacentral:misc_RNA from 1 species